UAACAAAGAUGGCAAGAUUGGCAAGGGCAGCAGUGAUUGCAGCCUACAACACAUGCUGAUUUCUACAGUACACAUUGGAAGCCAAAAUUACUAUAUAAUCAAUUAAUGCUAAUCGAUACAAACAUAAAUUACAUUUAUAUAUAUAUAUAUAUAUAUAUAUGCAUACAGAGAGGACUUGGAGGAGUUGUCAACACCAUCAUGGGCUUUGCUAAAUGAGCAACAAACAAACACAAAAGUAAAUUUGAAGGGCAAGGAAAGAGGGGUAAGAUAAUAUCUUAAUGGGAGGGAUUGGGGAUUGUGAGAGGUGCGGGGUACAAGUUGACUCCUCCCACGAGUCAUCAGGUUUGUUGGGCAACCCUUCACAUUCCUCCCUUGUAAGGAAGUGGGCUUGAAUCUCGUGAGACACAUUUGAGAUGGCAGCGUUUGAAAUGGAGUACUCUGCUGCUGAAGUAGAAGAAGAAGCAGAAGCAGCAGAAGAAGAAGGAAAGCUAGCAACAACAACAACAACAGCCAAAAACCUUUUCUCCAAAAAAUAUACCGUUCUCAUUUGUUAUCUUGUAACGCAGCAGGUUUUGAUCUCCAUAAAGAGCUACACAAAUGCUACCUCUGCAGUCAUCGUUGUGCACUCUUCACAAGUGGACCGAAUUGCAAGAGUGGUUGUCACUCCACAAUCAAACCGAAUUGGCAAAACAACACUGAUGCUGGUUCUUCACAGUUUUCCUACGUUGUCACUCUUCACAGCCUGGAGUUUUGAGCUGAAGGUGCAGUCGUCAGAUGGCUUGAAGAAGACCUUGAGGUGCAGCUGGAAAGGAGUGUUGAACAGCUAGAGAGGAUGUCGCUGGAGAUUCAUCCGUUUAAAACUACAGAGACCGAUUUAAUAACCUCGUGAACGGAGACUGUGAAGGAAGCUUUCCGUUUUUUUUUUUUUUCUCUUUACUGAAAUGCUGUUGAGUACUAUACUUUUGGUUAGUAUCCAAAUUUUGAGCUUUUCUUACUUUCUAGUAUUACUUUUUUGGUGACAAGUAACGACCUCCUGAAUCGAGGUGGUGCAGCUAGCAAGUUGGAACCCACCAUGAUCUUUGAAGUCGGAGUGGUUCCUUAAACACAACGUCUAGAUGUGGAAAGUUGGAGUUUGACAUGCACCAACACGUUCAUGUGUUGGAACCCAACAAUCACAAUCUGCUUACGAACAACGUCAAGUCGGAUCACUCGGUGUUCAGACACGAAGCGGAUACGAAUGCACAACGCUACUUGAGCUACUUUCAAAGAAUGUUUCAAUAAGUUACAGUUGUUUUAUCAUGAGCGGCCCUUUGAAGGAAGCUCUCUGUGUUCUCGGAUUGUAACAUGUUUGCCGUGCUGGAGCUUUGUAACUUAUGUAUCGAUGUAAUGUAAUGUAUUGUUUUUGUUUUUGUU